rnacentral:rRNA from 1 species
AAUAGAUACCCUGGUAGUCCAUGCCGUAAACGUUGGGAACUAGAUGUAGGGACCAUUCCACGGUUUCUGUGUCGCAGCUAACGCAUUAAGUUCCCCGCCUGGGGAGUACGGCCGCAAGGCUAAAACUCAAAGGAAUUGACGGGGGCCCGCACAAGCGGCGGAGCAUGCGGAUUAAUUCGAUGCAACGCGAAGAACCUUACCAAGGCUUGACAUAUACGAGAACGGGCCAGAAAUGGUCAACUCUUUGGACACUCGUAAACAGGUGGUGCAUGGUUGUCGUCAGCUCGUGUCGUGAGAUGUUGGGUUAAGUCCCGCAACGAGCGCAACCCUCGUUCUAUGUUGCCAGCACGUAAUGGUGGGAACUCAUAGGAGACUGCCGGGGUCAACUCGGAGGAAGGUGGGGAUGACGUCAAAUCAUCAUGCCCCUUAUGUCUUGGGCUUCACGCAUGCUACAAUGGCCGAUACAAAGGGCUGCAAUACCGUAAGGUGGAGCGAAUCCCGAAAAAGUCGGUCUCAGUUCGGAUUGAGGUCUGC